ensembl:miRNA mir125c microRNA 125c
GCUCUCCUCCUGUUCCCUGAGACCCUAACUCGUGAGGUCUUUUUCCAAAAUCACGGGUCAGGAGCUUGGGAGACAGGUGGAGGGC